rnacentral:rRNA from 1 species
UACGUAGGGGGCAAGCGUUGUCCGGAAUCACUGGGCGUAAAGCGUGCGUAGGCGGUUUGUUAAGUCUGAAGUGAAAGUCCAAGGCUCAACCUUGGGAUUGCUUUGGAAACUGGCAGACUUGAGUGCUGGAGAGGCAAGGGGAAUUCCACGUGUAGCGGUGAAAUGCGUAGAUAUGUGGAGGAAUACCAGUGGCGAAGGCGCCUUGCUGGACAGUGACUGACGCUGAGGCACGAAAGCGUGGGGAGCAAACAGG